UACCGCAUUUACAACCUCUAUUGAUACAGUCAUAAUAAAUUCCGAU
rnacentral:sRNA from 1 species